rnacentral:rRNA from 1 species
AUUGAACGCUGGCGGCAGGCCUCAAACAUGCAAGUCUAACGAGUGGCGGACGGGUGAGUCAUGUCUUGGAACCUGCCUGAUGGAUGGGGAUAACUACUGAACCCGGUAGCUAAUACCGCAUACCAUCGGAUGUGCCCAGCUGGGAUUAGCGAGUAGGUGGGGUAACGGCUCACCUAGUCGACGAUCCCUAGCUGGUCUUAGAGCAUGACCAGCCACACUGGAACUGAGACACGGUCCAGACUCAAACGGGAGGCAGCAGUGGGAAAUAUUGCAAAAGGGGCGCAAGCCUGAUGCAGCCAUGCCGCGUGUAUGAAGAAGGCCUUCGGGUUGUAAAGGACUUUCAGCGGGGAGGCGUGACCCGCAGAAGAAGCUCCGGCUAACUCCGUGUCAGCAGCCGCGGGAAUUC